rnacentral:rRNA from 1 species
UGGUUAAGCUAAUAAGAGCACACGGAGGAUGCCUAGGCGCUAGGAGCCGAAGAAGGACGUGGCGAACAACGAAAAGGCCUCGGGGAGCCGUAAGCAGGCAUUGAUCCGGGGAUGUCCGAAUGGGGGAACCCAGCUGAGGUAAUACUCAGUUACCAUGCAGUGAAUACAUAGCUGCUUUGGAGGCAUACGAGGGGAACUGAAAC